ACGAAGGGUGCAAGCGUUGCUCGGAAUUAUUGGGCGUAAAGGGUUGGUAGGUGGUCUUGUUUGUCUGAGGUGGAAUCCCAUGGCUUAACUGUGGAAGUGCCUCAGAAACGGCAAGACUAGAGUCCUAGAGGGGUUUGUGGAAUUCCCGGUGUAGCGGUGAAAUGCGCAGAUAUCGGGAAGAACACCCGUGGCGAAGGCGGCUCUCUGGGACGGUACUGACGCUGAGACGCGAAAGCGUGGGGAGCGAACAGGA
rnacentral:rRNA from 1 species